rnacentral:rRNA from 1 species
AUUGAACGCUGGCGGCAGGCCUAACACAUGCAAGUCGGGCGAGAGGAGGACAGGUGAGAAAUGUAUGGGGAGAUGCCAGAGGGAGGGGGAUAACUACUGGAAACGGUAGCUAAUACCGCAUACCAUCAGAAGAACCCAUAUGGGAUUAGCUUGUAGGUGAGGUAACGGCUCACCUAGGCGACGAUCCCUAGCUGGUCUGAGAGGAUGAUCAGCCACACUGGGACUGAGACACGGCCCAGACUCCUACGGGAGGCAGCAGUGGGGAAUAUUGCACAAUGGGCGCAAGCCUGAUGCAGCCAUGCCGCGUGUAUGAAGAAGGCCUUCGGGUUGUAAAGUACUUUCAGUCGGGAGGCGUUACCGACAGAAGAAGCACCGGCUAACUCCGUGCCAGCAGCCGCGGUAAUUC